AUCUUGAUGAAGCAAUGUUGAUCCCGAAAAAUACCUCUGUUUUGAUUCGCCGGGUUCCUGGACCGCCUCGCAUGCCCAUUGUGACUGAAAAGGACGAGCCUAAAGUGGAAAAUCAGGAAGAUGAAGCUCAACCAACAAAUAGUAACUUUGUGGGUGCUGAUUCAUCUGCCAUGAAAUAUCCUGAUGAUUCAGAGUGGGAUGAAUUUGGAAAUGACUUAUACGCCAUACC